CUCGAGGUACGGGAGGCAACAACAGAAGUGAUGGAAGUUUGAUCCUGUAACCAGUGAACUUGAUCAUUUUAAACGUGGCAUGAAUAACACAACGGAGAGAGUGCAAUUCAAAGGGAAAUACACAAGAGAUAUGGUGGAUAAAAUACACGAGAUUGUCUUUUUAAAGAAACGUUUUGGGAUGACAUCCAAUGGUUUCUGUGGUGAUCUAAUGGAUACAGAGAGGCAAGGUGGUGGCUGUAAGAGGAAAGGUCACUUUCAGUUCAGCCAUCGCUGACCUCACUGUGACUGCUGCACGUAAACCUCUGGGAAGCUGUGAUGAGGGAAAAGAGGCAUGAGGGACCUGUUGAAGCAGCACACCAGAGAAAGACCUCUGUUGUUACUGAGGGUUUUGAUUGAAUUAUGAGGUAAAGCAUGAUGGGCUGUAAACGUGAAGGUGAAAUCUGUUAGCACUGCACUCUGAUAGGUUUCUGGGUGAAAAUGGAUAUUUGACAAGAAAGCUUUAUAUUUUCACUAUAUUCUUUGGAAUCAUAUCCAUUAAUAAAUCAUGGACAAUGUGAUCAGGAAAGUGCAUUUAAUCCAGUUUGGAUUGACUGAUUGAACCAUUUAACUUCAAACUUGGUUUAAUCUUUUUUUUUUUUUUUUAUGUUUUUCACAUUAUUUUCUCUGUAGCAAAUUAAUAUUAUGUCAUUAAUCCGUUUGAUCGCUACUAAUACUGCUUACUCAAAGCAACAAACUUCAAACUUUAUCCACAACAUUGACUAUUUUUCCUUUUGGUUGGUCUUUAUUCUAUUGUAUUAGUGCAGCACUUGUUUAUUUUAUUACUCAUUUCUUGCCAUGAAAAUAGCCCAAGUUGCUGACAUG